GACUGAAAGAAGCAACUGGCUGCUCAGGCUGGGGAUCUGCCACCAUGAUUCAGCUCCCAAAGUGUCAUGUGGCCGACUAACAGCGCAGACAAUGCUGUCAAAACCCUCGAAUAGCUCGCCUCAAGCGCAUGGCAUUAUUUUAGUGAGAUUGAAGAACACAAAAACAUCGUGCUAUAAAUGGAUCAAGAAAGUUUGUGUGCAGCAGCUGUGUGCAGAAACAGGAACUUGCCUCUGGUGGGUUGAGACUCUUACGUCAGAAGAAGACGAUUAAUAAAUGGAUCUCAUUUUUAACUUUCAGGCUGGGUUCUUGGAGCACUGAAGUGUAAUUAUUAGAAGCUUGAUAAAUGCGGCCCCAUGUGGGUCUUACAGGUUUAAAUUCAACUUCACGUUCAAAGAUCCGUAGUGGUGCUGAGUGAUUUCUACAGCACGCUGCAGCUGGUGUACACUCAACCACAAGUGCAGUUUGUAUUCAAUCAUUGAAAUGUGCAACUAUUUUGACAACACUUUGAGGAAUGAUGCAUUUAAAAGGUGGACGCUAUAAUUAAAAUGUAAACACUGUUGCUUGUUUGAUUUUAAUUGAACCUGAACGUAUGAUUUAUUUACUUUCUGUUGCCUGAGGAGUCAUUUACAGGAAGCAACUUGAUAUGUUUCCUUUUGUUGAUAGUGUUUCUCUGUAAUUACUAUUAACCGGUUUGUUGUGGACAACUGCUCCGUGUGUCAUGUCUCUGCAUGCGCCGGCUAUUAAAGACAAUUAUCUAAAAAGGUAUAAAAGCAGAAUCUGUACCUUUGGGAAGUGCUGGCUUUAGUGCAGGCACAUGUUGUAUGGAUACACCUGAGGAUGAUGUGAUAACUCUUGUAGAAGUAGAAGAAGAUGAUGAAGAUGAGGAGGAGCCUCGUGUACUGGAGGAGUCCACUCUGUCUGCGGUGUUGCGGUUAAAUGUGUCCCCGCGCUCGCUUCCCACGUGUGUCCCAGUGAACACAUGCUGCCCUCCUCCUCCCUGAUAGGGACAAAACCAGAGUUAACAGAUUUAUAAAAUAUAUAAUAUAUUGAUAUUAAACACUCAUAUGUUCCAUACUUGUCCUGUGCUGGAGACUUUGCUGCCUUGCUUAGUGGUCUCUACCCGGCCUCCAAGGUUGUGAGUGCUGGCUCCAGUGUUGGUGCCAGUGCUGGCUCCAGUGUUGGUGCCAGUGUUGGUGCCAGUGUUGGUGCCAGUGCUGGUGCCAGUGCUGGCUCCACUGUUGGUGCCAGUGUUGGUGCCAGUGUUGGUGCCAGUGUUGGUGCCAGUGUUACGGCCGCUCAGUACUUGCUGCUCAGUCACGGGCCGGAACGCGUAGCCUCCAUUGGCAUAGUUCCCAUUGUUGCCAUUCCUGUUGCCGUUGUUUCCAUAGCCGUUGUAGCCGUUAGUUAUUCUGUUAUAUAUCAGGGCUCCAUUCUCGUCCUCACAGAACUGGCUGACUAACUUGGAUUCCAGUGCUGAGACAGAAAGACACAGAGAGGAGAAGUCAGAGCCAGAGAUACAGGAAGUG